rnacentral:sRNA from 1 species
AUUACACUUUUGUAAUUAAGGCCUUGAAUGGAUGCUGAUUUUCGAUUCAGUUUUUGGAUUUAGAUUUUAGUUUCUAGAUUUUAGAUUUUAGUUUUAGGCCUUGAAUGUUUUGUAGAUUUUGUAAGAGUUUUUGGAUUUUGUUUUUCAAAAACUUAUUUUCAUACCAAUCAAGAUUUUAAAAUUUUGGUUUCCCUACA